UCAAGCCUCACCUUGGGAAAAUUGAUUUUGGUUUGCAGUGCAUCCAGAGAGUGUUACUAAGUUUAAGUUUCUAAAUGACCAUUUACAAAUGAUUGACUGAUAUUAUAAAAAAACGUAUCAAUGAUUAGCAAACCAUUCUUUCAUCCAAUUCGCUCUGCCUCCUACCAAAACCAUGGCUUCAGCAACUGUUCUUAAUAUAGUGUACAUUAGGAGCAACGUCUUUGAAUGUUUACAGACCUUUCAACAAACUGUAUCUGGAAGAGAGACUUCUAUGUGGGAUCGUCGUGCUGCUUUACCAGACUGUGAAAGACAUUAAAGUAGCUAAACCCAAUGAAGGAGUUUGGUGAGGGUUUGUUUACCAUUCAGGCAACAUCUUAUUGCUGCUUGCUGAUCAGAUGAUUAGAUGGACAAGGUUCUCAUGAAAAAGGCUUUGUUUUUAUAUGAAUUAGUCUAGCAUUGACUGCUUUAUCUACAAGCCCCUCACUUUCACUACUGUAUCUCUCUACAACUGAUUUAUGGCUAUGGAUAAGGAUGACAUCUUCAUCCCUGAAAAUGUUUUCCUCCUGGAGGAGACUGUGCAGGAGGCAGAGGAAAUAUGCGAAAGAACGGUUAGUACAGCAUGCCAAACUGACCCCUGGGUGCCAGAGUGUUCCUGUGCUGCGGUGGAGAAGAGGUCCACUGAGACCAUCACUAAAGAGCACAGUGCCCAGCUAGAUUGUGCUCACAUCCAUCAGUAUACAUCCAAGGCCUGCCCCUAUACGCCACAGAUGGAGCUGACAGAGAGUGAGAUCAGUGAAGACCAUAAAAGAUGACUUUGGGGGAGCGGGCUGGUAUUCCCGAAAAUGGAGAAGGAGCAGGCCAUUCAAUAGCGAAUUGAAAGAUACACCCAUCCAUAAAGGGAAUCGGAGUGGAAUUGUUUUUCCACCAAUUGUAUUUUUAUACCCGUUUCAACCUUGUCCCCGUCCUGCUGUUUCGACUCUCUCUCUCUCAACCUAUGAAUGCUCAGCUAUGAAAAGCCAACUGACAUUUGCUCCUGAGGUGUUGAACUGUUGCACCCUCUGUAACCACUGUGGAUAUUAUUUUUUAUUUAAAAAAUGGCUUUUGUAAAAUACAUUUGAUUGAUUGUUUGCUGUGCUGGAUACUGUCUGAGUGAUGGGACAUUUCUAUAGUAUCUGUAACAUAUUUUGGGGUGUGUUUAAUCUCCAUUUUAACUUCUUAAAGUGGCAAUCAGCAGUAGAAACAAUAACAAAGUGCCUCCCUGCUCGUCUUUUGGUAAAAAUCUGAGGGAUUGAGAAAUGUAACCACUCUCAAUUUCAUAGACAGCGCUAUAGAUGCAAGGACUGACCAUGUACACAGUUCGCUUUGGAUAAAGGCGUCUGCUAAAUGGCAUAUGUUAUUAAAGUCUACUUUGAUGAACAGCCAAAAAGCACAUAAAAUCUGAUAUUUUUUUAUCCCGGCCACGUGACCUACGUCUGAACGGUCAAAUCUGAUUUAUUUGUCCCCAAGAAGUGUUUUUUAUACGGUUAUUUGUCAUAUCUUGUUGUUCACUGGCUACCGUGUUCACAGUAUGACAAGAACAUGUGGUAGCUUAAUAGCUUGUUGAUUGUUUACAAAGAAAUGAGUCAACGUGCUAGAACGCUAAAUGGCUAGUUGAAUGCUGUGGUUAGCCAAACAUGAUUUGUUUUGAAAGUUGGAUCAUCUUAUCCUUUGUGGCUUUAAAAGUGUUUUUACAUUAUAAUUUUCUACAUUAAAAAGCAACUGGGAAACAUCCAUGGCAGGCAUUGCUGUCACCUUAGCUCGCUACAACUUCUGAGCAAUUGGAAGCAGGAGCAACACAACCAAUCAGCCUACACCACUGCGCACACACGUUGUUACUAUGGCAACGAGUUUAGCCAUGUCAGCAAAUGACUGUCUGAACAGACACACCUGAUUUAGUCACUGGUAACUUUCUGUUUGUACAGUCAGUAGUCCAAAACUAAUUUGAAAAACAAAACUGAUUUGAGCAUUAAGGCCUGCAGUGUGUACAAGUCUUAAGAGCUUUUCACACCUUGAUUGUACAAUAUUUGCCAAUUAUUCUUGAAAAAAUGAUUCAAGGUCUAUCGAGUUGGUUGUUGAUCAUUGCUAGACAGCCAUUUUCAAGUCGAGCCAAUGUUGUCUUGGUAAGCAACUCCAGUGUAUAGUUGGCCUUGUGUUUUAGGUUAUUGUCCUGCUGAAAGAUGAAUUUGUCUCCCAGUGUCUGUUGGAAAGCAGACUGAAAUAAGUUUCCCUCCAGGGUGUUGCCUGUGCUUAGCUCUAUUCAAUUUCUUUAUAUCCCUCAAAUAACUCCGUAGUCCUUGCUGAUGACAAGCAUACCCAUAACAUGAUGCUGCCAUCACCAUGCUUGUUGUGUUGGAUUUGCCCCAAACAUAACGCUUUGUAUUCAGGACAAAAAGUUCAUUUCUUAGCCACAUUUUUUGCAUUAUUACUUUUUGCCUUAUUGGAAACAGGAUGCAUGUUUUGGAAUAUUUUUCUUAUGCACAGGCUUCCUUCUUUUCACUGUAAUUUAUGUUAGAAGUAACUACAAUGUUGUUGAUCCAUCCUCUGUUAUCUCCUAUCACAGCCAUUAAACUCUGUAACUGUUUUAAAAUCACCAUUGGCCUCAUGGUGGGAUUUUGAGCGGUUUCCUUCCUCUCUGACAAAUGAGUUAGGAAGGGGGUCUGUAUCGUUGUAGUGACUGGAUGUAUUGAUACACCAUCCAAAGUGUAAUUAAUAACUUCAACAUACUCAAAGGGAUAUUCAAUGUCUCCUUUUUUUUACCCAUCCACCAACACGUGCCCUUCUUUGCGAACCAUUGGAAAAUCUCCCUGGUGUUUGUGGAUGAAUCUGUGCUUGAAGUUCACUGCUCGACUGAGGGACCUUACAUAUAAUUGUGUGUGGGGGGUACAGAGAUGGGGUAGUCAUUUUAAAAAAUCAUGUUAAACACUAUUAUUGCACAGUGUGAGUCUAUGUAACUUAUAUAUAUAUUUUUGUCACUUAGCAGACACUCGUAUCCAGAGCAACUAGGGUUAAGUGCCUUGCUGCUCAAGGGCACAUUGGCAGACUUUUCACCUAGUCAGCCCGGCGAUUCAAAACAGCGACCUUAUAGUUAGUGACCCCAAGCUCUGAACCGCUAGGCUAACUGCCACCCCGCAAGUAUGAUGUGACUUUUUAAGCACAUUUUCUCUCCUGAACUUAUUUAGGCGUGCCAUAACAAAAGGCUUGAAUACUUAUUGACUCAAGACACUGCAGCUUUUCAAAAAAAAAGUCAAGGGUGUGAAUACUUUCU
ensembl:lncRNA